rnacentral:rRNA from 1 species
UACGUAGGGGGCAAGCGUUGUCCGGAAUCAUUGGGCGUAAAGCGCGUGUAGGUGGCUCGCCACGUCGGAUGUGAAAGCCCGGGGCUCAACCCCGGCAGUGCAUCCGAAAGGAGGGAGCUAGAGUGCUGGAGAGGCGGGUGGAAUUCCUGGUGUAGAGGUGAAAUUCGUAGAUAUCAGGAGGAACACCGGUGGCGAAGGCGACCCGCUGGCCAGCGACUGACACUGAGACGCGAAAGCGUGGGGAGCAAACAGG